UACGUAGGGUGCGAGCGUUGUCCGGAAUUACUGGGCGUAAAGAGCUCGUAGGUGGUUUGUCGCGUUGUUCGUGAAAUCUCACGGCUUAACUGUGAGCGUGCGGGCGAUACGGGCAGACUGGAGUACUGCAGGGGAGACUGGAAUUCCUGGUGUAGCGGUGAAAUGCGCAGAUAUCAGGAGGAACACCGGUGGCGAAGGCGGUUCUCUGGGAAUGUACUGACGCUGAGGAGCGAAAGCGUGGGGAGCAAACAGG
rnacentral:rRNA from 1 species